AGAAUCAACGCUGGCGGCGUGCCUAACACAUGCAAGUCGAACGAGAAAGGGUAGCAAUACCUGAGUAAAGUGGCGCACGGGUGAGUAACACGUGACUAACCUACCCUGGAGUGGGGGAUAACUGAGGGAAAACCUUAGCUAAUACCGCAUAAUACCUACGGGUCAAAGGAGCAAUUCGCUUUGGGAGGGGGUCGCGGCCGAUUAGUUAGUUGGCGGGGUAAUGGCCCACCAAGACUGUGAUCGGUAUCC
rnacentral:rRNA from 1 species